UGGACUUCAAACUUUCUCUGAACUGCCUUGCAGAAAAGAAGGUACCGUAAGCUUGAGGUUAGUAACUGUUUCACUGCCGACUAAAGAGAUAACUUCUUUGCAGUAAUUGAGAGUCUGCAAAAUGAAAUGCUACUGUCAUGUAAAACAUCUGACCUUUACAGUUGAGACAACAAGAACGUGCUAAAGUAUGCCAAGAAAAUAUUGCUGUUACAAAGGAUUCAAUAAACUAACUACUUGGACUGAGGGAGCAUGAUGAUAUGAUUCAGAAUACCGAAGUGCGCUGAUGUAAAAGAAGCUACUCCAGGACUGCCAUGUGUCAACAUAGCUUCUGAUGGAGAAAUGAAGACACACAAAAAAAUGUUUUCAGUGAACAUUAAAGAUGCAUGCUUCAUUGUACAAAUAAUAUAUAAACAUAUAUCUUUUUUAACUUUUAUGUUUUGCUCCAUGUAGUUGUGAAUCACAGUCUUAUUUUGCAAAGAGAAUUACAAGGUUAUAAAUACAUAGAACGAUACGUCCUUUAAAAUUGGAUUUGUAAAACUAUUGUUCACAAUAUGCAAUAUGAAUUCCCUUUUGAAGAAACACAGAAAAUAAAUAAAUAAAUAAAGAUAUCCAGG
rnacentral:lncRNA from 1 species